UACGGGGGGGGCAAGCGUUGUUCGGAAUUACUGGGCGUAAAGGGCUCGUAGGCGGCCAACUAAGUCAGACGUGAAAUCCCUCGGCUUAACCGGGGAACUGCAUCCGAUACUGGAUGGCUUGAAUUCGGGAGAGGGAUGCAGAAUUCCAGGUGUAGCGGUGAAAUGCGUAGAUAUUGGGAGGAACACCAGUGGCGAAGGCGGCUCACUGGACCGGAACUGACGCUGAGGCGCGAAAGCGUGGGGAGCAAACAGG
rnacentral:rRNA from 1 species